AUGCAGGGUAUUGGGCGCUAGAAUGGAGCGGUGUCUGUGGAUGUUCACGGGAUGGGAGAGGGAGGCAGGGAUGAGGGCAAGAUUAAAUGCACCAGUAGUGCUGUGUAGUGAUUGUAUUUGCUUGACUUUAUUAGUUUGCAGAGGAAUCAUCCAGGAGCCCUCGCCGGACGAGAAUAUGCAGAAGUGGACGUGAGCAGCCUGGGCAUCCUUCUGAGGAGACCUCAACAGUCUUCAGGGUCUGCCUUCUGCCUAACUGGCUGUGAGUAAGCGGUUCGGUGUGUCUGACCAGAGUCAUCUGUGCAGAGUGACUAUUUCAGUACCAAGGGAAAAGAAGUGACAAGUCAGAGUCUACUGCCCUCAUGCGAUGGAAAGUGAACGAGAGUGAUGGGACUGCGAGAAUUAUUGAUGCCUUGAAAAAGCCGUCCAACUGGGAAUGGAACAGUCAUCACUGUCAAUGACAUAAGUGUCUGUUUUGG